rnacentral:rRNA from 1 species
UACGGAGGGGGCUAGCGUUGUUCGCAAUUACUGGGCGUAAAGCGCACGUAGGCGGCUUUGUAAGUUAGAGGUGAAAGCCCGGAGCUCAACUCCGGAAUAGCCUUUAAGACUGCAUCGCUAGAACGUUGGAGAGGUAAGUGGAAUUCCGAGUGUAGAGGUGAAAUUCGUAGAUAUUCGGAAGAACACCAGUGGCGAAGGCGACUUACUGGACAACUGUUGACGCUGAGGUGCGAAAGCGUGGGGAGCAAACAGG